CAGUCGCCGCGGUAAUACGUAGGGUGCAAGCGUUAUCCGGAAUUAUUGGGCGUAAAGAGCUCGUAGGCGGUUUGUCGCGUCUGCUGUGAAAACUGGAGGCUCAACCUCCAGCCUGCAGUGGGUACGGGCAGACUAGAGUGCGGUAGGGGAGAUUGGAAUUCCUGGUGUAGCGGUGGAAUGCGCAGAUAUCAGGAGGAACACCGAUGGCGAAGGCAGAUCUCUGGGCCGUAACUGACGCUGAGGAGCGAAAGCGUGGGGAGCGAACAGGAUUAGAUACCCCGGUAGUCCUGUCUCUUAUACA
rnacentral:rRNA from 1 species